GGGCCUGUAGCUCAGCUGGCUAGAGCGUACGACUGAUAAUCGUAAGGUCGGUGGUUCGAGCCCACUCAGGCCCACCA
rnacentral:tRNA from 5 species